ACACGUUUAUGAAAGUAAAGAAUUUAGAAUUUGGCCUGUAUUCCUGUAAAUUUUUUGCAGUUUUUACUGUGAGGAACAGUGUUUUUUUAUUUGUGUUUGUGGAUUUGUUUUGGUAUUAUACCUAAAGACCUUAAAAUGUUUCGACCCUGGAAAAAUAGGCAGGAAAAUUUGGCAAAUGAAGAGGAAAGUGUUUGUGCGGGCCUAUGGAGGCCGUGGGUGUACAAGAAAGACAAUAACAUUUGUGAAAAAAAAAUAAGAGUGAUCUGGGCAGUGAUUUAGACUUACAUAGUUCUCAUAGUUCAUUUUCUAGUAUUAAGGAAGCAAAAAGAAGCAAGGGAAGUAGAAGCUACAGAGGAAAUCAAGCAGUUUUAAAAGAACAAAUUUAUCUAAAUAUCUAUAACAAUCUAAGGAAUGAUACUCAGUUCACAAAUGAUUGUAGUGCUUUGCAAAAUAUAGCGUUUUUAACAGGGGUUCCCUAUAGUACAAUAUGCCUGUAAAAAAAAGGAUUAAACACAGAAUAAAAAGGAAAGAUGCAGGACAAUCAAAGGGACUUGACAUGGAUAUUGCCAAAUUGCUAAGGAAAGGUGUGUAUUCUAAAUACAAAAACAAUGAGGUUCUGACCAUAUAGACACCUUAUCGGCAAGGGACAAACAUUUCUCAGUCUCAACCUUGCAGAGAUACCUGAUAAAACUUGGAUUUAAGCUUAAGAUGGUUAACAAAAGAGCUGCUGUAAUGGAAUUGUCAGGUGGUGUAUAGAAUAUUUGAGGAAAAUUUAAAAAAUUUGGGAGGAAGAAAGAUCCAUAUAUUAUUUAGCCGAAACAUGAUAUGAUACAUUUAUGAUUGAUGUAUGAUUUCCAUUCUCUGGGAAAAAAGUCUCUUUUUUGCCAUACUUACUGCCCCUGUUGUCCUUCAGUGAUACAAUAAAGACUGCUUCUUCCACCAUUCUCUGGGAAAAACCCUGUUUUGCUAUGCUUACUACCCCUGUUGUCCUUCAGCAACACAAUGAAGACUGCUUCUUCCUCCAUUCUCUGGAAAAAAGUCCCUUUUUUGCCAUA